AUGGCCGUCGCCGCGGCGCUCGCUGCUGCCGGCGAGGCGUCUUCCGGGAUCGGGUUCGACCUGCACCACCGAUCCUCGCCCGUGGUGAGGCGGUGGGCGGAGGCGCGGGGCCACCCGGGCGCCGCGUGGUGGGCCGAGGCCGAGGGCACGCCGGAGUACUACGCCGCGCUGUCCCGCCACGACCGCGCCCACCUGGCCCGCCGCGGCCUCGCGGAGGGCGACGGCGGGAAGGGUGGGCUGCUCACCUUCGCCAGCGGCAACCUCACGUUCCGGCUCGACGGGUCGCUGCACUACGCGGAGGUGGCGGUGGGCACGCCGAACGCAACGUUCCUGGUGGCCCUGGACACCGGCAGCGACCUCUUCUGGGUGCCCUGCGACUGCAAGCAGUGCGCGCCCAUCGCCAACGCCUCGGAGCUGCGCGGCGGGCCGGAGCUCCGGCCGUACAGCCCCGGGAAGUCGUCGACGAGCAAGGCGGUGACCUGCGAGCACGCGCUCUGCGAGCGGCCCAACGCCUGCGCUGCCGCCGGCAACAGCAGCAGCAGCUGCCCGUACAGCGUCAGGUACGUGUCCGCCAACACGUCCUCCUCCGGGGUGCUGGUCGAGGACGUGCUCCACCUCAGCCGGCAGACUGGCGGUCUUUCGACGGCGGUGAAGGCGCCCGUGGUGCUCGGGUGCGGGCAGGUGCAGACGGGCGCGUUCCUGGACGGCGCCGCCGUGGACGGCCUGCUGGGGCUCGGCAUGGACAAGGUGUCCGUGCCCAGCGUGCUGCACGCCGCCGGCCUCGUCGCUUCCGACAGCUUCUCCAUGUGCUUCAGCCCCGACGGCCUCGGCCGCAUCAACUUCGGCGACGCCGGCCGCCCCGGCCAGGCCGAGACGCCCUUCACCAUCCGGAACACGCACCCGACGUACAACAUCAGCGUGACGGCGAUGACGGUGGAGGGGAAGGAGCUGGCGGCGGAGUUCGCCGCCGUCGUGGACUCCGGCACGUCCUUCACCUACCUCAACGACCCGGCGUACACGGAGCUGGCCACCAGCUUCGACUCCCAGGUGCGCGAGAAGAGGGCCAACCUCAGCGCCUCCAUCCCCUUCCAGUACUGCUACCAGCUGGCCCGCGGGCAGACGGAGCUCUUCGUGCCGGAGGUGAGCCUCACCACCAGGGGCGGCGCCGUCUUCCCGGUCACCCGCCCCUUCGUGCUCAUCGCCGGCGAGACCAGCGACGGCCAGAUGGUCGCCGUCGGAUACUGCCUCGCCGUGCUCCAGAACGACAUCGCCAUCGACAUCAUCGGCCAGAACUUCAUGACCGGCCUCAAGGUGGUGUUCGACCGGGAGAGGUCCGUCCUCGGCUGGCACCAGUUCGACUGUUACAAGGACGUGGAGAAGGAGGCCCACGGCGGGAGCCCCGGCGCGGCUCCAGGGCCAUCGCCGACGACCCGAAUCAGGCCGCGGCAGAGCGUCCCGUACCCCGGCGCGGUGCCCGUAACGCCGAGGCAGCCGGGCUCAGGCGGCAGCCGCCUCUCCUUCUUCUCCAUGUCGCUGUUGCUUCCCUUGCUGGCUGCCGCCGCGUCCAUGGUCUGA
rnacentral:rRNA from 1 species